AAAGUGCGAUAAGCAAUGCGAAUUGCAGAAUUCCGCGAAUCAUCAGAUCCUUGAACGUAACUGGCGCUAGGUGGCUCUCCUCCUAGCAUGCCUGUUUCAGUGUCUGCAAACAUCAUAUCUUAAACUUAAUGUGGUUGACAAUCAGGAGUGAGCUUAGCUCAUACCUCUUGUAGAGUCUUCCAUUAAAGAUGCGCAUGUGAGUCUUUGGACUCCUCAUCGAAUUUUGGUCACGGAUUCUUCUGUGAUUUCGAGAGGAUUUGUCUUCAAUUACUCGAAUACAUAGCGAACAAUACUAUUCAAAAAAUCAUUUAUCUCUGCAUCUGAAAUCAGGCAAGAACACCCGCUGAACUUAA
rnacentral:misc_RNA from 1 species